GGAGGGAGCGAGCGUUGUUCGGAAUCACUGGGCGUAAAGGGCGCGUAGGCGGCCGAGUAAGUCGUGUGUGAAAGACCGGGGCUCAACUCCGUGUACUGCAUGCGAUACUGCUCGGCUAGAGAAAGGUAGAGGCGAGUGGAAUUCCCGGUGUAGCGGUGGAAUGCGUAGAUAUCGGGAAGAACACCUGUGGCGAAGGCGGCUCGCUGGGCCUUUUCUGACGCUGAAGUGCGAAAGCGUGGGGAGCAAACAGGAUUAGAUACCCUGGUAGUCCACGCCGUAAACGAUGGGCACUAGGCGUUGGGAGGAUUGACCCUCUCAGUGCCGUAGCUAACGCGUUAAGUGCCCCCGCCUGGGGAGUACGGCCGCAAGGCUG
rnacentral:rRNA from 1 species